ACCGGCAGUGUACAAGUUUUCCACAGAGUCAGGUAAAUAUGACCUGCAAUGAUAGGUCUGUCUACGGUAUAUACAGUGGUAACAUAAUAAACAAUCUCAGACUAGAAACAGAAAAUGAUUCAAACAUAUCACAUUAGCCACUAUCUCCCCACUGAAUGAUGGAAACUUUGUAUUCAUGAUUUUGUAUGUUUUUUCUGUCAAACAAGUUGGCUG
rnacentral:misc_RNA from 1 species